AGGGGGGUAUUGUUUUUGCCCUUUUACGUGCUUCUGGGUUUCGCGCGGUACUUAAUAAAGAUGCGAAUGUCCCCGGCUCAACCUGGGACGGACACUGGAAAUCGGGGAACUUGAUCGCCUAUGAGGAGAGUGGAAUUCCUCUUGUCGCCGCGACCUGUGUAGACAUGUGGAGGAACCCCACUGGUCAACGCGACUCUCUGGUCUGUAACUGACGCUGAGGAGCGUAUCCGUGGUGAGCGAACAGGAUUAGAUACCCUGGUAGUCCACGCCGUAAACGAUGAGUGCUAACUGUUAGGGGGUUUCCGCCCCUUAGUGCUGCAUCUAACGCAUUAAGCACUCCGCCUGGGGAGUACGGUCGCAAGACUGAAACUCUAAGGAAUUGACGGGGGCCCGCACAAGCGGUGGAGCAUGUGGUUUAAUUCGAAGCAACGCGAAUAACCUUACCAGGUCUUGACAUCCUCUGACAAUCCUAGAGAUAGGACGUCCCCUUCGGGGGCAGAGUGACCGGUGGUGCAUGGUUGUCGUCAGCUCGUGUCGUGAGAUGUUGGGUUAAGUCCCGCAACGAGCGCAACCCUUGAUCUUAGUUGCCAGCAUUUCAGUUGGGCACUCUAAGGUGACUGCCGGUGACAAACCUGAGGAAGGUGGGGAUGACGUCAAAUCAUCAUGCCCCUUAUGACCUGGGCUACACACGUGCUACAAUGGACAGAAACAAAGGGCAGCGAAACCGCGAGGUUAAAGCCAAUCCCACAAAUCUUGUUCUUCAGGUUCGGGAUCGCAGUCUUGCAACUCGACUGCGUGAAGCUGGAAAUCGCUAGUAAUCGCCGGAUCAGCAUGCCGCGGGUGAUUACGUUCCCGGGGCCUUUGUACACACCGCCCGUUCACAACCACGAGAGUUUGUAACACUCCGAAGUCGGUAGAGGUAACCUUUUAAGGAGCCAAGCCGCCCGAAUGUGGGGACCGGAUGAAUUGGGGGUGAAUUCGUAAACUAGGAUGGCCGAGUUAUUUCUAUACUGUCCCCUAUAAAUACAGUUCUUCUUUCUAUGUUUUCU
rnacentral:rRNA from 1 species